rnacentral:rRNA from 1 species
AGCGAACGCUGGCGGCAGGCCUAACACAUGCAAGUCGAACGAAAUCUUCGGAUCUAGUGGCGCACGGGUGCGUAACGCGUGGGAACGUGCCUUUUGGUUCGGAAUAACUCAGUGAAAUUUGUGCUAAUACCGGAUGAUUUCUUCGGACGAAAGAUUUAUCGCCAUUAGAUGGGCCCGCGUUUGAUUAGCUAGUUGGUGUGGUAACGGCCUACCAAGGCGACGAUCCAUAGCUGGUCUGAGAGGAUGAUCAGCCACACUGGGACUGAGACACGGCCCAGACUCCUACGGGAGGCAGCAGUGGGGAAUCUUGCACAAUGGGCGAAAGCAUGAUGCAGCCAUGCCGCGUGAAUGAUGAAGGUCUUAGGGUUGUAAAGCUCUUUCACCCGGGACGAUAAUGACGGUACCCGGAGAAGAAGCCCCGGCUAACUUCGUG